rnacentral:rRNA from 1 species
GAUGAACGCUGGCGGCGUGCCUAAUACAUGCAAGUCGAGCGAACAGACGAGGAGCUUGCUCCUCUGACGUUAGCGGCGGACGGGUGAGUAACGCGUGGAUAACCUACCUAUAAGACUGGGAUAACUUCGGGAAACCGGAGCUAAUACCGGAUAACAUGUUGAACCGCAUGGUUCAACAGUGAAAGACGGUCUUGCUGUCACUUAUAGAUGGAUCCGCGCCGCAUUAGCUAGUUGGUAAGGUAACGGCUUACCAAGGCAACGAUGCGUAGCCGACCUGAGAGGGUGAUCGGACACACUGGAACUGAGACACGGUCCAGACUCCUACGGGAGGCAGCAGUAGGGAAUCUUCCGCAAUGGGCGAAAGCCUGACGGAGCAACGCCGCGUGAGUGAAGAAGGUCUUCGGAUCGUAAAACUCUGUUAUUAGGGAGGAACAAAUGUGUAAGUAACUAUGCACGUCUUGACGGUACCUAAUCAGAAAGCCACGGCUAACUACGUG